UCUGGCGAUCACUGCGUGAGGCCCCGGAUCACGGGAGAAGCCGGAGUGGGGCCUUCUCCCACCAAGAGGGGGAAGGGAAGAACGGGAAAGAAGGGCAGUCCAUUUCCCAUGGAACUCACCGCCGUCCUCGGCUGGCGGUGCUCAAGGCUCCUCUUUAUCCCCCAACGAGCACAAACUCUCCAAUGAAAUCGCAGCAGGUUCGAGCUGGAGGCAGGAGCAGCGUGCAGGCAAGCCGAGGCGAGUGGACAAAGUUGAGAGCAAGAAAAAACCGCCUCAAAGCUUUUCCAAAUGCACACAGACUCGCCGUCUCCGUUCAAGCAGAGAAACCAAACUGUUCUUCUGUUUGUGAGGAGGGCAGCAAAAACUCCUCCUCCCUCCCUCCCUCCAGUCUUAGGAGUCAGAAGUUCCUUUGGGCCUUAUCAUAUCCAUCAGGGAUGGUGUUUGUCACUAACAGCUUUACAAAGGUGUUACUUCUCAUCGUCUGCAAUGUGUCGCACUGCUGUCACACACCUAACCUCUUCCCGUGAUUACAUGGUUCAUGAACACCUCUUCAGAAGGCUGGAUUUCCCAAAUACACACACACAAAGUGUGGGUGGUGCAGCCAGUUAAGCUGGUGUUUAUGCACAGGUACAAAAAUGGUCCUCUUUGAUUGACUGAGAAGUCUUUGCAAACAAAAAGUGCUCCAGUCUAAGACCUUCAAUCCAGUGAUCCAGAAAAAUACUUUUUUAUUUCUUCAGAUAUUGUGGCUUUGAGAAGAGAACUUCAGUUUUAUCUCCAUGUUCCCAUAUCCGUUUCAGUGCAGGCAAAGUCACUCCUGCUCUUUUUAUCUUGUCUUCACAUCCUGCUGAGAUAGCAAUGCUGAAGCCAGAAGCUGUUGAAAUGAAAGGUUUUGCUGCCUGUUUUGUCACAGUAAAUGGGUUAUGGAAAGGAAACAUUUGAGGGUGGUGACUCCAAGAAGUCAUCCCAGCAUUAGUUUCUGUUGCAGGAGUGCCAGACAUCUCUUAAAAACAGCUCUUGUAGCCCGUGGAGACGACAUUCAUGGAAGACAGAUCCAACUUCAACUUCUAUGUGCUUUUCUAGCAGUAAAAAUACUUAUUUUCUGGAAACUUUAGUUUAACUCUUUGGAAUAAGUUUGCAGGGAGAAAAUAACUAACAAACUUUUAAUAUACAACAAAUUGAGCUGGAUACAGCUAUUUGUUGCUGGUUCCGCUCUUUCAGCUACACCAGCCAUGGGAAUAAAUCAAAUCUGUUUUGAAAGAGGAACACACUCCUAAUCCUUAGAUGUACAGAAAAGCUUUUAAAAUUCAAAGUGUAGCUUGAGAAUUAUUGGAGAGCUCAGCUAGCAAAAAUUAGCGCAGAUCCGUGCAAGACGUCUCAUUCCUUAUACCCGAGGAAUGCAAGUGAUGCAACCUUCUUAGCAUUAGAAUUAACUAACACUGACAGCUGAAGCUAAAAUAAAAUUGUCACCUACCACUGGAAUAUCUAAGAUCUUUAAACAUGAUGUGUGCUGACUUCUUAAAAGUCAUCUCUAUCUGUUGAGCAUUUUAAAGAAUGGAGUUUCUUCAUAAAGAGGUGGGGGGACAUAUCUAUUUUUCCUCCCCAGUAGCUGCACUGUGUCAUCAUUUGCAUGUUAGACAGCUUUGCAGCUACUGCAAACUAAUAUUAACUCUCUUUAUAUUGGUGAAAAUAAUAAGAUCAUUCUGAUUUAUACCAGCAGGCUUUUAUUUUGUCCAUUUCUGACACGACUCAGUUUGUAGAUGUGUGUAAGGACCUUAACUUUUAAGGAUUUGCAUGGCACAAGCCAUGAAGGCACCCCAGUUAUUGCUGCCAGAAUGGAAGCUUUGCCUGGGCAGCGAGCUGUACUCUUACAAGCACCCCACUGCUGUAUCCCAGCCUUUGCCACACAAACUCCAUUGUGCAUGAAAUACAAUAGCAGAAUAUUAUUCCAUGCUAAUAACAGCAGCCAGCUGAAGUACUGUCUGCUGUGGGAUGAGAGUGAGCUAAACCAGCUGCAUAGUUAAGGAUAUGAAACCAGGGGGAAAUUGGUACAGAUUGGUGAAACUCCCUCCAAAACCACUGACGAUGUGAAAUAUGGAUUUCCUAAAAUAUGAAAGGAAUUACUUGUUCUCCCAUCAUUAGUGGCUGAAGGCAAAUACUCAUGAUAUUGAAUUAACAAAACUACUACCUUUAUAAUGCCAUGGCUGAAGGCUCUUCAGGGAAGACACUGACUCAUAUGACUGCUCUUGCUCAUCCUUUUCAGCCUGAGCAGGAGAAGGACGUGCACAGAGGUAUGACACAUGCUGCUUUGAAUCUCAAGCAAGUGGGGGAGGUACCAUUGUUUCAGAUACUAACCUCAGUGUCAGGAACAAAUUGAUAUGCUGGUCAAUUCUAGGAUUUUGAAUGUGAAUAUUUGCAUUAGUAAAAUAGGCAACCUUAUUUUGCAUUAAUUUUCAAUUUCUCUUCUUAUUUACCCCUUUUCUAAAAAAUGAAAGGUCAAAAGUGGAGAUGAGCAGGUAAAUUGGAGGAGGAGAGGCAUUGGAAUUGAUAGCUGAAUCAAAAAUUUGGAGGGGAAAAUAAUUGUCUUGCAUCUUCUUUUUCUUUGGUUGGAGUUUUUUUUUGCUUUAAAGUGAAGGGGGGGAAAAAGCCCAUCAAUUUGAAUUCAAAGAAGGCCUUUUGUAUGAAACCUGCUCUGUGAAGUUUUGGGGUUAUUGCACUACUUUGCGGAUGCAUUUUCACAAUCUAAAAAUGUUAUGCACAGGUGAAAAUACGAAAGGAUCAUUAUUUUUUUUUUAUUGAGAAAGCAAAACCAAACCGGUUUAGUUCCUUCAAAUCCUUCCCCUAACCUCUUUGGUUUUGACAAAAGCUGUUAUUUUGAUUUGCUCUGGAUUUCUGGGUUGUUUUAGUAGAGAUUUGUGUUUCUGGUCAAUUUUAUUAUAUGUCCAUAUCAAUGCAGCCGGUGUGUAGUAAGAAAGAAGACAAAAAUAAGAAUCUAUUUUCAUAACUCUCAGAAGAAUUUUCUAAAAACUUGUCUUCCUGCUUUCUAGUUAAUUGAAAUUUCCUUCCCUUGACUCACUACUUUCAAGGGCAAAACCAAAGGACAUCUUCUGGGCUCAGUUCCCAUAGAGGAAUGUGCAUGUAGUUGCUGCCCACUACCUGGGAAUAUAUUUUCUAAAGAUCUCUCCUGGCUGUUUUAAAUAUAUUUGUUAUUUUCUUUAUUUUGUUUAAUCAACUGUUUUCUCACUGGUUUUAUUUACACAGUGUAACAUGCAUACAAAUUGCAGUAUAUAAACUAUAACAUGAAAUUACCACAUAGCCAAAUUUCUGCUAAUACAUGCUUACUUUUUCUUCUCCACCCCCCAAAACAUCCCAACAUUAAAGCAAAAUAAAAGAAAAAUACAAGCCAAAACCCUCGAAAAAACCCAACAAAGACUUAUUAACAUUUUGGAAAAUAAAAAUAGGCCUAGUAACGCUCACUAGAAAACUGAAGCUAUUCCUAUUCUUUUCUAGCUGAAGGGGCAGACCUUGUCCUUUCCAUGGUGGUAUCUUACAGAAAGAAAAGUGAGUCCUCAGGCAACCAGAUCAAAUAGAGGACGUUGGUUAAAAACCUACUAUUACUGCUUGGAAAUGUGCUGAAAUUGCAGUAUCAUGUCCUGUGAUAAAUUUACAAGCAGUUGUGCCAUUGCUUCUCACUGUGUAUCUACACAGACUCUUGAGGUGUGAAAAUAGAUAAAUCCUGGGUAAAGAAAUCAAAGUUUUUGCUGCCUGGUAGUACAUGGCUUAGAAAAGGGUGAGGCAUGCAAUAGUGUCUCUGUGUGUGGGAAAUACUUAUCUGCAGCUAUAUUUUAAGUAUUGACAGUCAUGGAUUUUUUUAAAAGAGCUUUUUCCUCAGGUCUUGUAAGGAAGGCCCAAUAAUGGAGGUACCUGCAUGCUUUCCCAACUGAUCUUGGACUUAGGCUUGUGCUCUGGACAUACAUCACAGAAAUGUGAAGGAUUAUAAGGACAAGGAAAAGAUCGGAACAGGAUAAUACAACCUAGGAUGUGUUUCAUAAUGCCAUGACAUAUUACAAACCCCUACAAGGUAUAACCUUACUCACUGUGUAACACCUGCAGGACUCUGUUGUACCAUGCCCUUCUUAGUAAUUUGCUGACAUUUGGCUACUGAAAACCAAAUGCAUAUCUUUUUAUGUUUUUGUACAUCCAUAUUCUCUUAAAUAAAACCUAUUAACUUGAAAAUGCUGGAGUUAGAUUUUUAUCUCUCCUUCAUGCUUGAUUCUGAAAAAUGUUCCCUAGUCCUUUCAGGUCUACUAUAAUUCAGACGUCAUCUUUAAAUUAACAUAAAAUAUUCAGAGAGAAGGAUUUAGGUGAAAAUACAAUGGAUAUAACAUCCUCCUCUGUUCACCACACAUUUUCCAUUGAUGCCUCCCAAUUAUGAGAAAUGCACUAUUAUGUACAUUGCUUCCUGGGAUUUUCAGUUUCUGUGUAUCAUUUUUGGGUUAAGUGCUCCUUUGGUAAUCCACAUCUAGCUGUAUUUUUAUCAUGAACCCAAUGUCAAGUAAAUGCAAGCUCUCAGCUAAUGAACACCUUGACCCCUGCUUUCAAGAGGAACUGAAAGAAGCACAAAACAAAUAAUACACUUCCUUUACUGUUUAAUAUAUAUUUAAUAUAUAAACUGUGUCAUACUCCACAAGGUUUUUCUUUGAACCUUCUCCUAAAACUAAAUUUGUAAUCAGAGCAGAUGUCACAAUUUUACUUCUGUGUACAUCUCUCCAUAGUGCGAUGAGAUGCUGUCUAUUUACAUAUGAAAAUUCAAGUCAUCAAUUGGCCCAGGUGGUUGUACUUAUUUGACUUAAGCCAAUGUGGGUGUGAAACCUUGGAAUGAAAAUAUACACGUUGCUUGUACUGCUGCACAAAUAACAUCCCUGAAGAGAACUGAAAGGAAAUGGUAAAGCUGAGCUAACCUAAUAUGCUCUGUUUAAUAAGGGGCUCUGUGGCUUUGGAGCAAUGACAUCUCUGUAUUGCAGGAUCACUUUUAUUCCCCACUAGAUUCUUAACAGCCAGAACAACACGUGUGCCUGUGUGGCAUUGCUAUCAGCCUAGAAAAUACUUUUUGGUCUGACCUGGUUCUGACCUGCCCUGCCAAACACCCAGAGACAUGUUCCCAAUUUGCUUCACCUGCUUUUAGCCAGUACACCCUAGGAGCCACCACAUGGUGCUGGGGGGAGCCCAAACACACCUACAGGCUGCUGGGCAGCCAGUCCUUAGCUGUGCCAAGACCAUGGGGGAACACCAUCCUCUUGCCUGUCCCUCAGCACCUCCAGAGGCAGAAGCUCCACACACCUUUUGCUCCAAGCAAGCUCAUACAUUCACACUUUUCAGUGCUAAGGCUUUGCUUUUUGCUCCA